rnacentral:lncRNA from 1 species
CAUGAAUUAAGAAAAUGCUCCUUCAAACUUGCUUACAGGCCGAUCUGAUGGAGGCAUUUUCUCAGUUGAAGUUCCCUCAUCCUGUGUGACUAUAUCUUGUGUCAAAUUAACCAAAACAAACAAACAAACACCUAGAAGUGCAAGCCAACUCCAGUGCCUGUCAGGGAGGCCUUUGUUCAGGAAGAAGUCAUCAAGAUAGAACCCUAUGGUUGGGCCCUGAUGGUUUUCCAGGAAGAGAGAAAGAGAUCAGGCACACAGACUGGUAAGAACCCAGUCUCUUGCCUUGUGACGUCCUCUGACACCUCUGGAUUCUGCCAGCAAGAAACACAUCUCCAAUUUCGAGUCCUCAGACCUACACUUUUGAGUCUGACUUCAGUGCUCCCCUGUUCUGAAGGGCUUUGAAGAAAUAGCUCUUCUAUGCUCUCCAUGGAUCUUGGACACAACUCCAUGGCUGCUAGACCAUGGGAAAGCCUGUUACGGCUGGAUCUGACAGUUUCAAGGACGUAGCAUUCUUUUUUCCUCCCUGAAGAAUCCAUCUAAUAAAACCUGGAGAGCUAAAAAGAACAGAUACAGCCUUGUGGCCAUUUCAGCUACUCCUCCAGGUAGCCUGCAAAGUUGGUUUCUCGGGACCCCUACCAGCCCAGGGCUGCUACAGCUACUGCCAAAAUGAUGCUCAUCAGAUGGAGUCAGUCUGCUUUUCUGCACUGCCAUGUUAGUGCAGUGAAAACUGGCUAGGGUAGCAAUGUGUGCUGUUAGCAGUGUAGCAUAAUACAAUAUAUUACACUCAUUAUUAUAUCAAUUAAAUAUAGCACAAUCUUUUUUUUUUUUCAAUUUGUAUCUAUUGCUGAACACUCUGAUGCUGCGUCGCUUCUAAGCACACUGGCAACAAACAUGGCAGCAUCCACCUCCUCUGAAUGAUGAGACGGGGAGAGAGCAAUGUCAUGUGACCAUGAGAUGGUGAUUCUCUUUGGAGACUCCACAGAAGCCCACAGAGGCCAUGAGCGAGAAGCACAAGAUGCCCACAGGAAUGAUGCAGGCAGGGCUGAGGCUCAUGUUAACUGAGCACCUUCUGCUGGGCACCCAGCCAGAGCAACACUUCCUGCUUGAAUGACUUCAUCACGUUAUUAACCCAGAUGCAUGAGACCCUUUGUCUCCUUCAGAGUAACCUGAUUUUGCGGUUCCCUGGGUUCUGGAGUUUGUGCCUUUGCCUGUAGGUGAGGUCCUGAGCCUGGAAGACUGCAGGCAUAUUGACAUGGUGGUGUUAUACCGCCACCAUGGGGGCACUGCUGGAAUUUCAAGGUACUUAGAAAGCUUUGUUCUCGUCUCUAAUGUCCACGUUCAGAAGUGAAAGUGAGCACGUUAAUUUUACGUUAUGUCGUUCAACUCAAGUACUAUGAAAGUUAUAAUUUAUCAAAAACCAUAAGGACACAACCUGCCUGUGGAAAGGCUCUGGAGGGGUAGAUAGCUUCAGCAGGUGUGUCUGAAGGACUUUAAAUAGGAAGAGUCUCCAAAGAUCCAUAUAGUGAAGGCUUGACUCCCAAAUGCAGUAAUGCUUAGAGUGGGGCCCAGUGAGGUGAAUAGAUCAGGAAUGUUCUAAACUCAUCUACAGAAAGUAGGUGAGUCUGUCGGUAAGUUCAUAGAUAAGGGCUAUUAGCAUAUAGGCCCUCCCUGGAGGAAGUAGGCUACAUAAAGAGAGAGUGCUCCAUCUCCCCUCACCCCUGCUCGGGAGAGUGCCACUGAAGGCUAUGUCUCCCCUCACCCCUGCUCGGGGAGAGUGCCACUGAAGACUAUGUCUCCCUUCACCCCUGCUCGG